ACAGCUGCCCCCAUGGUUUCCAUGCCUGCAGAGUCUGGGGGCCCCGUCUUGUUUGUACGGACCCGGGGUCCCCUUACCCCCCGGCGGCUCCUUCUCAGCUCCCCUCCGCUAUUGGACUGGGUGCUUCUCGGGGUCCGGGACUUUAGGGCCCCCUUGCCCCAGGGACCACUGCUGAUCCAGAGAGGACAGCCUCUGCCCGAGGCUGGGGAAGGUGCCCUGGUACUGGAUACUAGGCCGGCCCUGCAAGGCCUCCUAGGGCCACACACACGCCUCAGUGUUACUGAACUGGAGGGAAGGGGGUAUCAGAGAGGGGAGGGCAGAUUUGAGGGGGCAGAGAAACCCAGUGAGUGUGUGGGCGGCCAGGCCCAUGAUGAUGAGGAGGCAGACACUGUGUACAUGUGGGGGCAGUUAGGGUGUGUUCCCAGUGGGGGGCCCUAUUUAUGCUCUACUCUCCUGUCCCCGGUCGUCUCCAGUUUUGCUAGAGAUGUGGGGCCUGUGCUGCUCCGUGUGGCCCCUGUGGAUGCAGAGUCCUUGGUAAGGACAGGGAGACUGCAGGAGGUUGGGGGUCCCGUGGACCGUGGGUCUUCUGUGUGGGUGAGUAAGAGCCAGUUGCGGGAGCUGGGCCUGUAUCACCGUGAGUGGGUGUGGGUGUCGCUGCCGGGACCUUUAGAUACUUUGGGGACAACGAGAGAAGCAUCUCCUGCUGGCCAAUCAGAGCACCUGGGAUCGCAAGGUGACAGGAGGCAUCUGGCCAUGAUAUUGGCUGCUGAACUGUGGCUGGGACACCCUCAGAAGUACAGCCAUCUCCUGAGUAUGCCAAGCAACACCUCCUGCGGCAGCCUCACCGGGGACGGGGCUGUCAUAUCCGCCACGCUUCUUUUCAAUCUGACGUUCGGAGCAGGCGCUGUCGGCGAGAUCCUUGUAGAGAGGUUUAGUAAUGAGGCGUCGGCGGGCAGUUCUUCUUCUCUGGCCAUGCCACCGUUUGCAAAAGAGCUUUAUGUAGAGAUUGUGAGAUCUCCAUUGUAUAACAUCGAUGGGAAGUAUGAUGAGGCUUUGCACCAGCACUUCCAGACUCCCAGGGUGGUGCAAGUCGGGGAUAUUCUGUGCAUCUCUACUCUAUCCCAUGCUGAAUUCUCACCGAACCAUCCAAAGAUUGGGGUCAGGUGUCCUGACCUUUACUUCAAGGUGCACAGGAUAGAGGGAGCUGCUGGGGCCGAGCCGCGCAUGGGUUUCAUCGCAGAUUCCAUCCACACCAGUCUCUACCAGGAAGGAAGCGCUCACAGCUUUGUCCCGUCCUUUCCUUCCCGUGAUGGUCACGUGUUCUGGAGCAGCGUGUCCCCGGCAGGUCUCUCGCAGGCCGUGGAUGAGAUGUGUCGUGUUCUGCAGCCUCAUCUCCAGGAUGCAGGUGACGUUCUGCCAGCACGCGGCAGGGUCCUGUUCUGUGGUCCGAGUGGCAGCGGAAAAGUGACCGUGAUGAAAGCUGUGUGCAGCCGGCUUAACCUGCAUCUCUAUCAGGUGGAGUGUGCCGGUCUGCGCAAAGAGAGCAGCUCCGGCAGCGUGUCCCGACUCCACGCGAUGUUCUCCCGCGCCGCUGAUCUCCGCCCGUGUGUCCUGCUGCUCAGCCACGUCGAGAUGCUGGGGAAGGAGAGAGAUGGCUCCAGUGAAGACAGCAGGACUGUUUCUGCCUUCCGUAGUCUGCUCCUAGAGGACAAAGAGCCACACGGGUUUCUGCCCCUUCUGAUAGUUGCCACGUCCUCCUGCCCGGGUGAUAUUCCUGCGGAUGUGCGGUCCUGUUUUGUCCAUGAGGUUUUUCUGGAUUCCCCCUCAGAAGACCAACGCGGUUCAAUGCUGACCGCGCUCACCACUCCUCUGCCGCUCAGCCGGGACGUCAGCAUUAGCCAACUGGCUCGCAGGACUGCAGGUUUUGUGCUGGGCGACCUCUGUGCUCUGCUUUCAAAUGCCAGCCGGAUCGCGUGUGCCAGGAUCGGACACUCAUGCGCUCUCACUGAGGAGGAUGAAGAGGGUCUUCUGGCUGCCGGUUUUCCAGUGACUUCCCAGGAUUUUGAAGAAGCGCUUGCACAGCUGCAGGACUCUCAUUCUCAGGCAGUCGGGGCACCCAAGGUCCCCUGCGUGCGCUGGCAGGAUGUCGGAGGGCUGCAUGAUGUCAAACGCCAUCUCCUCGAUACGGUGCAGCUUCCUCUGGAGCAUCCAGAGCUCCUAUCUCUGGGUCUCCGGAGGUCGGGGGUUCUACUCUAUGGUCCCCCUGGUUCUGGAAAAACCUUGCUGGCCAAAGCUGUGGCCACUGAGUGUGCCAUGACCUUCCUAAGCGUGAAAGGACCAGAAUUAAUAAAUAUGUAUGUGGGACAGAGCGAAGAGAAUGUCCGAGAAGUGUUCACUCGCGCUCGUGCAGCUGCUCCUUGCAUCGUGUUUUUUGAUGAAUUGGAUUCCUUGGCUCCCAAUCGAGGAAAGAGCGGAGACUCGGGUGGAGUGAUGGACAGGGUGGUCUCCCAGUUGCUGGCCGAGCUGGAUGGUCUUCACUCCUCGAAUGACGUCUUUGUGAUCGGAGCUACAAACCGCCCCGACCUGCUGGAUUCCGCUUUACUGCGACCAGGGAGGUUUGACAAGCUGCUUUACGUUGGGGUUAAUGAAGAUCGUGAGUCCCAGCUGAGAGUCUUGUCUGCAAUAACACGCAAGUUCUCCCUGGAGCCGGCGAUGGAUCUCUCUCAGGUGAUCGCGCGCUGUCCUGCGGCGCUGUCCGGUGCUGAUCUCUAUGCGCUUUGUGCCGAUGCUAUGAUGAGAGCUGUUAAGGAGAAGAUUGAACAUCUGGAGCGGGGGCAGGAAGUCCCAGCUGAAGAUCUUGUAAUCGGCAUGGAGCAUUUUGUGCAGGCUGCAGAGUGUCUCCGUCCAUCAGUGUCAGCCCGUGAGCUGCAGCGUUAUGAGAGCAUCCGGAGGCAGUUCUCUGCCCCUCCACAUCCCGUGAGACACGGAGACUGAGACGGAGGAACUAAACUCUGUGCCAGCACUGACCUAGGGGUGACAUGGCAGGUAUACAGAAAUCAGAUCUAUAGGGGUGACAUGGCAGGUAGACGGGGAUCAGAUCUAUAGGGUUAACAUGGCAGGUAGAUGGGGAUCAGAUCUCUAGGGGUAACAUGGCAGGUAGAUGGGGAUCGGAUCUAUAGGGGUGACAUGGCAGGUAGAUGGGGAUCAGAUCUCUAGGGGUAACAUGGCAGGUAGAUGGGGAUCAGAUCUCUAGGGGUAACAUGGCAGGUAGACGGGGAUCAGAUCUCUAGGGGUAACAUGGCAGGUAGACGGGGAUC